GAGAAUCCACGGACAUGCGGCGCAGCUCCACCGCGUUGUCGUCCUCGCGGCCCUGCGCCGCCACGAUGCCCACGACGCGUCCGUCCAGCACUGCCACCCAGAAGCAGGAACCUGGCGAGGCACACGUGGCAAAAAAAAAGGACAAGAAAGGAGCCCGGUGGAAGGCAAUGGUGAAGUCAACCGGGCCGAACACCACCGGGGAGGAAAUGGUGGUUCCCGUUUGCGCAUCCUUCGCCAUCAGAUGACUGGUGCACUGCAGUGAUUCCACGCCCCCGCGCCACUUUUACGCAAUAGGUACAUGCAACCACUACUGCGUCAAUUUUCAACAAGAACUUGAACAGGCGGCGCACAAGAAGGCCGCCAGUCAAUCACAGGGCACCGAGAAUGUGAGCAAGUUGAAAAAAUCCAAUUUCCUGAAAAGGAUUCAGACAACUGUGUGUGUACAGCGAAGAAAAAGAAGUAUUUGAAAACACACGGCCAGGAAAACCGAGGAGUGGCUCCGGAA